AUGAACGCUGGCGGCGUGCCUAAGGCAUGCAAGUCGAACGGAUUUCUUAGAGAUUAUAUCAACAGGGAAUGAGUGGCAAACGGGUGCGUAACACAUUGGUAACCUACCUCGCAGACGUGAAUAAUUCGGCGAAAGCCGGACUAAUACACGAUAUUAUCCCGACGUGAACACGUCAGGAUGAAAUACUCCGGUGCUGCGAGAGGGGCCUAUGUCCUAUCAGCUAGUUGGUGAGGUAAUGGCUCACCAAGGCUAUGACGGGUACCGGGCGUGAGAGCGUGGCCCGGCUCACUGGGACUGAGACACUGCCCAGACACCUACGGGUGGCUGCAGUCAGGAAUAUUCCCCAAUGCACGAAAGUGUGAGGGAGCGACGCCGCGUGCUGGAAGAAGGCCUUCGGGUCGUAAACAGCUUUUAUGAGGGACGAACAAAUGACGGUACCUCAAGAAUAAGUGGUUGCUAACUCUGU
rnacentral:rRNA from 1 species